rnacentral:tRNA from 1 species
GUUGGUAUAACUCAGUGGUAGAGUGUAUGCUUAGCAUGCACGAGGUCCUGGGUUCAAUCCCCAGUACCUCCA